rnacentral:rRNA from 1 species
UACGUAGGGUGCAAGCGUUAAUCGGAAUUACUGGGCGUAAAGCGUGCGCAGGCGGUUUCGUAAGUCUGUCGUGAAAUCCCCAGGCUUAACCUGGGAACUGCAUUCGAGACUGCAUUGCUAGAGUAUGGGAGAGGGAAGUGGAAUUUCAGGUGUAGCGGUGAAAUGCGUAGAUAUCUGAAGGAACAUCAGUGGCGAAAGCGACUUCCUGGACCAAUACUGACGCUCAUGUGCGAAAGCGUGGGGAGCAAACAGG